rnacentral:rRNA from 1 species
GGAUCCUAAACGCGACGACGGGUAGCCGGCCUGAGAGGGUGACCGGCCACACUGGGACUGAGACACGGCCCAGACUCCUACGGGAGGCAGCAGUGGGGAAUAUUGCACAAUGGGCGAAAGCCUGAUGCAGCGACGCCGCGUGAGGGAUGACGGCCUUCGGGUUGUAAACCUCUUUCAGUAGGGAAGAAGCGAAAGUGACGGUACCUGCAGAAGAAGCGCCGGCUAACUACGUGCCAGCAGCCGCGGUAAUACAUAGGGCGCAAGCGUUAUCCGGAUUUAUUGGGCGUAAAGAGCUCGUAGGCGGUUUGUCGCGUCUGCCGUGAAAGUCCGAGGCUCAACCUCGGAUCUGCGGUGGGUACGGGCAGACUAGAGUGAUGUAGGGGAGACUGGAAUUCCUGGUGUAGCGGUGAAAUGCGCAGAUAUCAGGAGGAACACCGAUGGCGAAGGCAGGUCUCUGGGCAUCUACUGACGCUGAGGAGCGAAAGCAUGGGGAGCGAACAGGAUUAGAUACCCUGGUAGUCCAUGCCGUAAACGUUGGGCACUAGGUGUGGGGAACAUUCCACGUUUUCCGCGCCGUAGCUAACGCAUUAAGUGCCCCGCCUGGGGGAGUACGGAA